UAUUUAAUUUUCCUCCCUUUCCUCUCUCUUAUUAAAGACGGGGAAAAAAUCAGAAACUCUAAAUCUUUGUUGAAACUCGUUGCUCCGCCACGCUGCAUCAUCUCCUCACGUCCUUUCUCCGCCAGCACCUCUUGCGCUGCCACCGACGCGUCUCCUUGUUCGGUUCGGCCACCGCGACUUAAUUUCAUAAUUAAAUUACCUCAAUUUUUUCAAAAAGAUGAGCAAAAUCCAAGAAGAUACAGGAGAGAAUUUCAGUCCAUGUUUGAAGGUUGCGAGGAGGAGGAUAAAGAAGCCAUAACUGAGGAAAGAGGCCAAACCGGUGUAGCUGAGAAAAAGUGACGGUUAAGCACUUGGUCUUCAACCUCGUUUGAGUUAGAGAACAAGCUUGAGCCUGAGAGGAAAGUGAAGUUAGCUCAAGAACUUGGUCUUCAACCUCGUCAAGUAGCUGUUUGGUUCCAGAACCGCCGUGCACGGUGGAAGACAAAACAGCUCGAGAAAGAUUACGGCGUUCUUAAAACCCAAUACGAUUCUCUCCGUCAUACCUUCGAUUCCCUCCGCCGUGACAAUGAAUCUCUUCUUCAAGAGAUUAGUAAACUGAAGUGUAAGCUUAACGGAGAAGAAGAAGAGGAGGAAGAGAACAACGCCGUGAUGAUGGAGAGUGAAUUGUCGGUCAAGGAGGAAGAAUUUUUGUUGCCCGGGGGAAAACGAGUAACGCGCCACAGCGCCGGAGCUUCCUACUGGAGUUCAUCUCCGACGCGCCGUCGUCGAAGUCGUCGGUGAAGUCGGAGGCGGAGCUGAAGCAUUGUUUGAGUUUGGAGAGGCUGUCGGCUUUGUCUCCGACAUGACAACCCGUGAGUUUCUCGAAAGUUUCCCACGCGCUUCGAGUGGCGUUUAGGAAGCAGUAAGUUACACAAGCCAAGCAUUUUCUCUCCUCCCAAGUUUUGUCAUCUUCGUGUUUGGAUGGUCAGUCGGCUUAAUGUUUCGAUCCAUGUAUCUACCUUUGUAUCUUGCGUUGGUUAGAAAGACAGUGUUUAAAAAAAAAUAUUUGUCCUUUCCCCAAAUGCCAUAAGAACCUAUCUAUCCUACCCUAGCACUGCAGGCUAUAUACAACACAAGUGAAGUUCCCCGGGUCAGGGUACGAAUGGUGACCGGGGAAUGAUAGGGAAUGAUGCAUUUCCUAACGUUUCUAUAAAAAAUCACCAUUCGCAAGGAAUAAUAAUUACUUCUCAUUCUCUCUCGUUCCUGUUUUGUAGAGAAUUAAAGGAUAAAAUUAUUCCUUGUUAAAUUUGAGAAGGAACAAUCAUUCCUUUUCAUUCCUG